rnacentral:rRNA from 1 species
AUUGAACGCUGGCGGCAGGCCUAACACAUGCAAGUCGAACGGUAACAGGAAGAAGCUUGCUUCUUUGCUGACGAGUGGCGGACGGGUGAGUAAUGUCUGGGAAACUGCCUGAUGGAGGGGGAUAACUACUGGAAACGGUAGCUAAUACCGCAUAACGUCGCAAGACCAAAAAGGGGGACCUUCGGGCCUCUUGCCAUCGGAUGUGCCCAGAUGGGAUUAGCUAGUAGGUGGGGUAACGGCUCACCUAGGCGACGAUCCCUAGCUGGUCUGAGAGGAUGACCAGCCACACUGGAACUGAGACACGGUCCAGACUCCUACGGGAGGCAGCAGUGGGGAAUAUUGCACAAUGGGCGCAAGCCUGAUGCAGCCAUGCCGCGUGUAUGAAGAAGGCCUUCGGGUUGUAAAGUACUUUCAGCGGGGAGGAAGGGAGUAAAGUUAAUACCUUGGCUCAUUGACGUUACCCGCAGAAGAAGCACCGGCUAACUACGUG